rnacentral:rRNA from 1 species
GACGAACGCUGGCGGCGUGCUUAACACAUGCAAGUCGAACGGAAAGGCCCUGCUUUUGUGGGGUGCUCGAGUGGCGAACGGGUGAGUAACACGUGAGUAACCUGCCCUUGACUUUGGGAUAACUUCAGGAAACUGGGGCUAAUACCGGAUAGGAGCUCCUGCUGCAUGGUGGGGGUUGGAAAGUUUCGGCGGUUGGGGAUGGACUCGCGGCUUAUGAGCUUGUUGGUGGGGUAGUGGCUUACCAAGGCUUUGACGGGUAGCCGGCCUGAGAGGGUGACCGGCCACAUUGGGACUGAGAUACGGCCCAGACUCGUACGGGAGGCAGCAGUGGGGAAUAUUGCACAAUGGGCGGAAGCCUGAUGCAGCAACGCCGCGUGCGGGAUGACGGCCUUCGGGUUGUAAACCGCUUUCGCCUGUGACGAAGCGUGAGUGACGGUAAUUGGUAAAGAAGCACCGGCUAACUACGUG